rnacentral:rRNA from 1 species
GACGAACGCUGGCGGCGUGCUUAACACAUGCAAGUCGAACGGAAAGGCCCUGCUUUUGUGGGGUGCUCGAGUGGCGAACGGGUGAGUAACACGUGAGUAACCUGCCCUUGACUUUGGGAUAACUUCAGGAAACUGGGGCUAAUACCGGAUAGGAGCUCCUGCUGCAUGGUGGGGGUUGGAAAGUUUCGGCGGUUGGGGAUGGACUCGCGGCUUAUCAGCUUGUUGGUGGGGUAGUGGCUUACCAAGGCUUUGACGGGUAGCCGGCCUGAGAGGGUGACCGGCCACAUUGGGACUGAGGUACGGCCCAGACUCCUACGGGGGGCAGCAGUGGGGAAUAUUGCACAAUGGGCGGAAGCCUGAUGCAGCAACGCCGCGUGCGGGAUGACGGCCUUCGGGUUGUAAACCGCUUUCGCCUGUGACGAAGCGUGAGUGACGGUAAUGGGUAAAGAAGCACCGGCUAACUACGUG